rnacentral:rRNA from 1 species
AUACGUAGGGUGCAAGCGUUAAUCGGAAUUACUGGGCGUAAAGCGUGCGCAGGCGGUUGUGCAAGACAGAUGUGAAAUCCCCGGGCUUAACCUGGGAACUGCAUUUGUGACUGCACGGCUAGAGUGUGUCAGAGGGGGGUAGAAUUCCACGUGUAGCAGUGAAAUGCGUAGAUAUGUGGAGGAAUACCGAUGGCGAAGGCAGCCCCCUGGGAUAACACUGACGCUCAUGCACGAAAGCGUGGGGAGCAAACAG